CCAUUUAUACUGACGUCAACCAGGACGUGAGGUCAUUGAGUGAAUGUGUCGCGCGUGUGUGAGGUGAGUGGUUGUUUGUGUGCAUGAAUGUUUGUGUUUUGUGAAAGUGUGUGAGAAUGAGACUUUUUUUUGUUUUAAAUAAUCUACACCAUGAUCUUAUUUGAUCUUAUCCGAGUUGUUGCCCUGCUCGGGUACAGAAAUGAUAGUAACCGACUCGGGAGCUUCUGUAGCGAUGAUCGUGAGGCUUUUUCACUGAGGGCACCACAGUUGAAACUGUGGUAAGAAAUGAUGAUUCGAUCAGAUAUACUAGAGCAAGCAGGGUGCUGGAUCUUGUUCCAAUACGCCCUGUUUGUUCAUUGAGUAUAAUGGCGAUUCUGAUCUCA